rnacentral:rRNA from 2 species
AACUUCUAACGGUGGAUCUCUUGGCUCGUGCAUCGAUGAAGAACGCAGCCAGCUGCGAUAAGUAGUGUGAAUUGCAGAACUCAGCGAAUCAUCGAAUCUUUGAACGCAA